rnacentral:rRNA from 1 species
CCUACGGGAGGCAGCAGUAGGGAAUCUUCCACAAUGGACGAAAGCCUGAUGGAGCAACGCCGCGUGAGUGAAGAAGGGUUUCGGCUCGUAAAGCUCUGUUGGUAGUGAAGAAAGAGAGAGGUAGUAACUGGCCUCGAUUCGACGGUAAUUACUUAGAAAGUCACGGCUAACUACGUGCCAGCAGCCGCGGUAAUACGUAGGUGGCAAGCGUUGUCCGGAUUUAUUGGGCGUAAAGCGAACGCAGGCGGUUCAAUAAGUCUGAUGUGAAAGCCUUCGGCUCAACCGGAGAAUUGCAUCAGAAACUGGUGAACUUGAGUGCAGAAGAGGAGAGUGGAACUCCAUGUGUAGCGGUGGAAUGCGUAGAUAUAUGGAAGAACACCAGUGGCGAAGGCGGCUCUCUGGUCUGCAACUGACGCUGAGGUUCGAAAGCGUGGGUAGCGAACAGGAUUAGAUACCCCUGUAGUC